CUUUGACACCCCUGUUUUAGACUGAAAAACCCUAUACAGAUUAACUAUGCAAUGCAUGCUUCCAGCAGGAUGCACAUCCAAAUGGUUUGCAUGCUCUGCGGAAGGAGCCCAGUGACAAAGUGCACAGUUGGGUGUCAGACUGAUCCCCUGGUCAUGAAUGGAUGCCGGGACCUACCAGAAGGAGAAAAUUUGUUUGAGAGAUGUUCAGUUUGCUGCCAAACAUGCAGCACAGAGAAGACCAGCAAGGGGGCCCUCAUCACCAUCAUGAAGACAUGUCCUCACUGUAAGCAUUCCUAUGAAUGGAACAGUCAGACACAUUUUGGCAAGUAUGUGGCCAGCAACCUUCACCUGUCAGCGGAAACAGCUUCUACAGGCUCAUCAUUUGUACAAAUACAGAAGUUAAGCCACUUAACUGUGAAACAUUGUGAAACAUAAUUUAUGUAAACUGACAUUAUUUGUUGCUUAUUUACUACUUCUUAGAUGCAUAUAAUGUUUAGGGCAUUACGUAGUCUGGUGGAACCAGCCUGAUCGCUGUGUUGACCAUUCUAUUUCACUUCACAUUUUAUGAUAUCUGAAGUGAAAUAGAAAGGUGAUCACAUCGAUAAGGUUGGUUUCACCAGGCUAAUCAUAACCAAUAUUGAUAAUGUAAUCCGUGCUCUGUGUGUGUGCGACUGACCAGUAUCUUUGAUAAGGGGCUAGGAGCUGAUCUACGCUGCUAUGCCCAUCAAUGGGGCGCUAGCAAAGACCUUACCUCCAGUCUCACCACUUGCCUGCUCACGAACGGUCGUCGAUGGGGAGGCAAUCACUGUCACUGUUCUAUAUGUGUUCACAGAUUCAUGAGGACAUAGACAAACACUAUCCAGGUUAGACUUCCACACGCCAUUCCCCCAGGGGGCAGCAGCAACCUUUGAGCCUGGUUGGUAAGCAUAUCAGGUUCUUUGUAGCUCAGUUGGUAGAGCAGGGUGCUUGUAAUGCCAGGGUAGCGGGUUCUAUUCCCAGGACCACCCAUAUGUAAAAUGUAUGCAAUCAUGAC